GAUGAACGCUAGCGACAGGCCUAACACAUGCAAGUCGAGGGGCAGCACAUGAGUAGCAAUACGAUGGUGGCGACCGGCGCACGGGUGAGUAACACGUAUGCAACCUGCCUUCUACUAUGGGAUAACUCGUUGAAAGACGGCCUAAUACCGUAUAUUACAGGGGCUCCGCAUGGAGAUAUUUGUUAAAGUGUUAUUGGUAGAAGAGGGGCAUGCGUAUGAUUAGAUAGUUGGUGAGGUAACGGCUCACCAAGUCAACGAUCAUUAGGUGUUCUGAGAGGAAGGUCCCCCACACUGGUACUGAUACACGGAUCAGACUCCUACGGGAGGCAGCAGUGAUGAAUAUUGAUCAAUUGACGAGAGUCUGAACCAGCCAAGUCGCGUGAAGGAAGACGGUUCUAUGAAUUGCAAACUUCUUUUGUGCAGGAAUAAAGUGGGUUACGUGUAACCUUUUGUAUGUACUGUACGAAUAAGGAUCGGCUAACUCCGUGCCAGCCGCCGCAGUAAUAC
rnacentral:rRNA from 1 species